UACGGAGGGUGCGAGCGUUGUCCGGAAUCACUGGGCGUAAAGGGCGCGUAGGCGGUUUGACAAGUCUGAUGUGAAAUCUCUGGGCUCAACCCAGAGUCUGCAUUAGAAACUGUCGGGCUUGAGUAUGGGAGAGGUGAGUGGAAUUUCCGGUGUAGCGGUGAAAUGCGUAGAUAUCGGAAGGAACACCUGUGGCGAAAGC
rnacentral:rRNA from 1 species